rnacentral:rRNA from 1 species
CGAAACCGCAUGGUUUUGAUUUGAAAGGCGCUUUCGGGUGUCGCUGAUGGAUGGACCCGCGGUGCAUUAGCUAGUUGGUGAGGUAACGGCUCACCAAGGCCACGAUGCAUAGCCGACCUGAGAGGGUGAUCGGCCACAUUGGGACUGAGACACGGCCCAAACUCCUACGGGAGGCAGCAGUAGGGAAUCUUCGGCAAUGGACGAAAGUCUGACCGAGCAACGCCGCGUGAGUGAAGAAGGUUUUCGGAUCGUAAAACUCUGUUGUUAGAGAAGAACAAGGAUGAGAGUAACUGUUCAUCCCUUGACGGUAUCUAACCAGAAAGCCACGGCUAACUACGUGCCAGCAGCCGCGGUAAUACGUAGGUGGCAAGCGUUGUCCGGAUUUAUUGGGCGUAAAGCGAGCGCAGGCGGUUUCUUAAGUCUGAUGUGAAAGCCCCCGGCUCAACCGGGGAGGGUCAUUGGAAACUGGGAGACUUGAGUGCAGAAGAGGAGAGUGGAAUUCCAUGUGUAGCGGUGAAAUGCGUAGAUAUAUGGAGGAACACCAGUGGCGAAGGCGGCUCUCUGGUCUGUAACUGACGCUGAGGCUUGAAAGCGUGGGGAGCAAACAGGAUUAGAUACCCUGGUAGUCCACGCCGUAAACGAUGAGUGCUAAGUGUUGGAGGGUUUCCGCCCUUCAGUGCUGCAGCUAACGCAUUAAGCACUCCGCCUGGGGGAGUACGACCGCAAGGUUGAAACUCAAAGGAAUUGACGGGGGCCCGCACAAGCGGUGGAGCAUGUGGUUUAAUUCGAAGCAACGCGAAGAACCUUACCAGGUCUUGACAUCCUUUGACCACUCUAGAGAUAGAGCUUCCCCUUCGGGGGCAAAGUGACAGGUGGUGCAUGGUUGUCGUCAGCUCGUGUCGUGAGAUGUUGGGUUAAGUCCCGCAACGAGCGCAACCCUUAUUGUUAGUUGCCAUCAUUCAGUUGGGCACUCUAGCAAGACUGCCGGUGACAAACCGGAGGAAGGUGGGGAUGACGUCAAAUCAUCAUGCCCCUUAUGACCUGGGCUACACACGUGCUACAAUGGGAAGUACA